UUAGCGCCAGUGCCCGGAAACGGGACGACGAGGAGAAGGGUUAUCGAAAAUUCGGCGGGUGCCCUUCCGUAGCUCUUCGCUGCGUGAUGUAUCGGCAAAUAUGCGGGUAACUGCAAAACAAAUACGAUACAA
rnacentral:ncRNA from 1 species